rnacentral:rRNA from 1 species
GCAAGUCGAACGGUAACAGGUCUUCGGAUGCUGACGAGUGGCGCACGGGUGCGUAACGCGUAUACAACCUGCCUUGAACAAAGGGAUAGCCCAUGGAAACGUGGAUUAAUACCUUAUAAUAUAUGACUGUGGCAUCACAGACAUAUCAAAGAUUUAUCGGUUCAAGAGGGGUAUGCGUGACAUUAGCGAGUGGGUGAGGUAACGGAGCACCAAGGCUACGAUGUCUAGGGGUUCUGAGAGGAUGAGC